CCUACGGGAGGCAGCAGUGGGGAAUUUUGGACAAUGGGCGCAAGCCUGAUCCAGCAAUGCCGCGUGCAGGAUGAAGGCCUUCGGGUUGUAAACUGCUUUUGUACGGAACGAAACGGCUCUUUCUAAUAAAGAGGGCUAAUGACGGUACCGUAAGAAUAAGCACCGGCUAACUACGUGCCAGCAGCCGCGGUAAUACGUAGGGUGCGAGCGUUAAUCGGAAUUACCGGGCGUAAAGCGUGCGCAGGCGGUUAUAUAAGACAGAUGUGAAAUCCCCGGGCUCAACCUGGGACCUGCAUUUGUGACUGUAUAGCUAGAGUACGGUAGCGGGGGAUGGAAUUCCGCGUGUAGCAGUGAAAUGCGUAGAUAUGCGGAGGAACACCGAUGGCGAAGGCAAUCCCCUGGACCUGUACUGACGCUCAUGCACGAAAGCGUGGGGAGCAAACAGGAUUAGGAUACCCGUAGGUACGUACCGACCGUACCCUAAACGAUCGUACAACGUUGGUUGGUUCGGGUUCUUCUACGUGUACUACGUAACGUAACGAAGUACUAACGCGUAGUAAGUUCGACCGUCCGGUGGGGACGUCCGGCCGACGUAGGUACGUAAACGUUAAAGUAGUAGUGCGUGAGAGUCGACGACGACGACGACGAGGAGGGAGG
rnacentral:rRNA from 1 species